rnacentral:rRNA from 1 species
UACGGGGGGUGCGAGCGUUGUCCGGAAUCACUGGGCGUAAAGGGCGCGUAGGCGGUUUGAUAAGGGUGUGGUGAAAGCCCGGGGCUCAACCCCGGGUCUGCCGUGCCGACUGUCAAACUCGAGGGCUGUAGAGGCAGACGGAAUUCCGGGUGUAGCGGUGGAAUGCGUAGAGAUCCGGAGGAAGACCGGUGGCGAAGGCGGUCUGCUGGGCAGUUUCUGACACUGAGGCGCGACAGCGUGGGGAGCAAACAGG